rnacentral:lncRNA from 10 species
GUAACUCAAAGAUGCAUGUGGUAUUUUAACCUUGGCAUUGUCCACCUUUCCCAUUAGGAAGGAUUAACUCUCUGUUCUCUUGAUCCUUCCAAAUUUUGCCAUCUCAGACAUCUGAUGAAAGCAGGAGAUUUAGGAUAACCACCAAAUAACAAUGAAACCCUAAAGGAGCAAGGGCUGGUAUAGGGCACCACAAUGUCAGGAACCCAAACUCCUUUCAGCUGAGCUCUCUGGUUUUUGGAAUUUAGUUUUCCAACAGAAAGGAAGUAUCACGGAAUGAACAGUAAACUAGAUUUGCCUUAGGAAGACUGAUUUUUAAGUCUCAGCGUGAAAUGGCCCAUGUUGGGUCUCUUUCCCCCUCCCUAUCCCAGGAACAGAGGUUUUUCACCCCACCAGGGUUGGAACUGAGGGGAGUAUAAAAGUGCUCUGUUACCUGGUGCUGUACAAUGAAGUAUCAAUGCUCUCUGGACAUGGCAAAUGUUCCUCAUGAAGGGGCUUUCAUGUAUACUUUGAAGACUACCUUGUCAGGGACCUCUUACCUGCAAUUCCCUUAAAAUUGUGACUAUUUCCAUUCCAGCUGUUCAUUUGAAUUUUUUCUGUAGCCCCUAGGCCUUCAGUGGUCCUCUCCCAGUUUUCUUCCACUGCUCUUCUAGGUAGCCCUCCUGAACAAGGCUUAAGGCCUCCAUAUUGCUAGCAACCUCAUGCUUUCUCUCUCUCUCUAUCUAUCUCUCUCUCCCCCUCCCUCUCUGUCUCUGUCUCUAUCUCUCUGUCUUUCUCUGUCUCUCUCUCCCUGAGACAGUGAUCAUGUUGUAUUGAAAUGGUCUGUUUCCAUUCUUUCCCCAAAUAUCCUGAAAACUCUUCGAGGGAAGGCAUAGCAUCUUAUUUCUUGUAGCCUUCCUACUUACUAGAACACCCAACAGAUACUGCUCAAGUGAAUGAAAUGCCACAUUUAUACCAAGAUAUUUGAUUUUACUACCUGGUAAGUGUUUAUACAUUUUCUGCUAAGUAAGACUAACAAUGAUCUGAGGUGAAUGUACUAGGAGAUGUUAUACAAGAGACAACGGUAUGGGCUUUGUUGAAUUCUCUCAGCUGUCCCAAAUGUUUGCUGAGUGUCACUUGCUGGAAGGCUCUGGAUCUGGCUACAAUGUCUUUAUUAGGAGUUCUGUCAAAUUAAGUAUUCCCUUUAGAAUUUUCUGAGUAAAGAAUUGCUAUUUUCAAUACUGUUAGAGAGUUCGGUUAACUUAGCUACCUUAGUCUGUAGCUUUUUUGCAUUCUCUAAUUUAUCUUCUUGAAAAUAAGUUCUGUUCUGUUGUUGACUUCCCACACUUUAUACUUCAUUCAUCCAGUAAACAGUGAAUAAGCAUCCACCAGUUAAGGGAACCCCUCAACCCUCAACUCAUGCCCGGGGUUGAGGGGAGUCCUGCUCUUAGUAGUGGCAGUUUUGAGUGGGAAGGAGGGGUAGGCAGAGAAGGAGUUUGGACUUGUUCCAAAAGUUCAUUCCAAGGACAAGAAAACUUUUCCCAAUAUUGGCCAGAGUUGGGCAGAUCCAGAAAUACAGGACAGUCUAGAAUUCCUGGGAUUACUGUGAAUCUGAAAGACAGGAACUCAGUGUGAAAAAUCUGAGAUGAGAUUGUCAUCUCAGAUUGUGUGAAGACAAUCUCGUCUCUCCAAAAUCCUUAGAAACUAGAAUGGCUUAGAUUAUUGGAAAUCAAAACCUUGUAAAUGGAUAGAGAAAAUAAGAACCCCCCCCCUCAAGUAUUAAAAAGAAUACUUAAAAUGCUUCCAAUCUGAUGUAAAGAGCUUAAGUCGGAACUAGACAAGCUCUUUCCAUUAUUUAAAGGAUUCUAUGAUUUGUUGGUACAAUAACUUAGAGGUGUCAUAUCUACUUCCAAAUGACAAAUUUCUGGAAGUUUAUUGA